AAAUGAAAUUAAAUUUUAUUGGGCUUUAAUUUGAAACCACACCUUAUUUUUUAAAUUAUCAUAAAAUAUACAGGGAGAAGUAACAAAAAGUCUUUUGUAGGAAUGCUUAGGAGGGUAGGGCAGAAUUGCACUGUUAAGGAAUAUGCUUGGUUUAAGGACAACAGGCAACUUCAGUAUUCUAAAAUUUAGUGAUGCCUGCCAACUAGCUGCAACCAAGAAUGAACUUUCCUUGCGUAUUUUAAAUAUUUGCAUAUUUCCACUAAAGAGCAGGAUUUAACAUAGUCUACUGACUUCCAGAAAUGAUGCAAAAAUCAAGUGCCUGUGCACCAUCUAUUUUUUAAUUUUUUUUUUUUUUUUUUUUGUCCUAACUGAUGUUGCUUUCAUCAUUUCCAGGUUCAUUUUAGAAAAGGUUGCACUAAACUGAAGCCUUCAGCCUUUGCAUGACGGGGCACUGCUGCCCUCCUGUGGCCUUCCCGGGCAUUGACAGUCCCAAAGUCCUUCCAACUUUGUCAUCGUUCAGAGGCUCCGACCAUUGCGGUGAUUCCCAGAAGCCGUUUUUAAUUUCAUGUUGUAUCCAGUAUUAACUAGGUCUUUUCUGCUUUCCUUCUGUGAAAUUACCAUUCUAAAAGGGCUUAACUCUGCCCCUCGUUGCUUAAAUAUGGGAGAAAUCCAAUACUGGGGUCUGUGGUCAAUAGCAUCUUCCUUCCCUCUCAGUUCCGUACCUGAAGGUAAAUCACCACAAGUAUAGAUCGCAUGGAGAAAGUUCCCCACUCUGAUUCCUGACUUGCUACCCCAAGAACAUUUGCAGCUGGGUAGUAAAACUGAUGUUCGCACAAGCUACUUACGUUAACAUCAUUUAUCUCCCUUACGCAGCUUUUAAAAACUUGAACCAUUUUCUGUGGCCGUGGCAAGCCUUGUGCCGAUCUAUGGAAAUCAAGCAAGAGUUCUACCAUCCUGGUGCUUAGGGCUGGUGGCUUCAGUGAGAAUCUGGAAACCACCAUUGUUUAGAUGACAGUUAUGGUGUUUGGGAAAAUGGUCAACUGGUCACCCAGCACCACCUGAAAAGGCUCCCAGGAAAACACCCCUUCCAUUUGUAAUCGAUGUUCAUUAUUGGAGAAUUCCUGGUGUAGGACCCCAUGGGACUGCGCUUCAAUUUCGUGUGUAAGAAUGUAUGUAAACGGGGUAGAGGAACGGCGGGGAGAGAGAGAAUCUUAAGCAGCCUUCAUCCAUAAUGAGCGUGGACUCUGGGGCUUGAUUCCGGGACCCCAGGGUCACAAGCCAAAAUCAAGAGUCAAAUGCUUAACCAACUGAGCCACCCAGCUCCUGUGUGGACCUCAUUCUUAUCUUAACGGGCUUCGUUUUUAACGUGUGUCUGCCGUAACCUCCUCCAGUUCUUUAGGAAGUAGGUAAGUCUGCAUAGCAAGUUAACAUUUGCAGGACCCCACUUCUCAUGGCAUUACGAACAGAGAAUGAUCAAAUGAAAAACAAAGACAUGAUUGAAGAGAGUAAAAUAUUUAUUCAGGUCAAGAUGCAUGAAUAGACUCUUAACAGAAAGAGAAUUCAACAGCAGCCAUUUACAGAAUACACAGCAUUGCCACAUUUUAGCAAACUGCGACUGAGGACAUCAGAUAGGUUACAGCGAUUUGUUUGUAAAACUGCAUUCAAUUCUCUCUUACCUCCGCAAUAAUGUAUCAUUAAUGCAGUGAAAGAAGUUAGUGAAAAAAGCGUGAUCGUCCUUCCCCACCUUCUGCCCAUCCGUCUUCCGGGAGACCACGUCUUCCAGGAGAACAGAGGCUGUUGCUCACCAGACUUGGCGUGAGGUUUCGAGGCUGCUGCUUUUCCCCCUACAUCAUAACCGAUUUCAAAUGGUGCUAGACAAAAACAGACUCUGAACACCAGGAGAAAUCGGUCAGCCUGUGUAAGAGAUGGGUCCGGUGGUGCUCCCGGGGGUCCGGCACUUGACCGUGCAGGUGGCAAGUCUGAUUCCAGCCGCACUGCAAGUGCAGCUGGGUGUUCCGGGGCCUCUAGGAGCGGGUGCAACGCCGAUGGGGAUGGAACCGUCCUCCAGGCACACAGCCUCGCCCCUCCCCCGCUACAAUCGAGUACCGGAGGAGCCGGCAUCGCCUGGUCCCCGCGGUCAGAGGCCCUACGGACAGGUGAACGCCCGGUGGUGCUCCCAGGUGCUACAACCAGGCAUCACCUCGGCCCCCUGCUCCAGCUCGGAGUUUCUUUGAAACACAAACACCCUCCCCGCACGGCCGCCCCUCCACAACCCGCAACGGACAUACGCUGCGGCGCACUUUUCCUUUUCAAGUUCUUCCUCUCUUGGACCGGCUCAGGCGGCAGAAGGAGGGGCUCUGUCCCACCAGCGAGAGCUCCUCUGCAGGUGGCCCUUUGCUGCGCCGCAAUUCUUACUCCUAAAACACUGAUUUCAAAUGGUGCUAGAUACAAAGAUGGAAAAAUCUAAGCCACCAUGUGAAACCAGCUUCCAGAAGAAGAGGAUCUCAUUGAAGAAAGAAGGAAGACACAACCGGAAGACCCAGGUGCUGCCCUGUCUUCUUGCAGUUCCACUUGGGGCGGAACAUCGCGGUCCGUGAGAGAGGCACAGAGCGGACCUAGCCGGGGAAGCUCAAGGAAUGUGAAAGUCGCGGCUGACGCGUCACACAGACGGUAGCAAUACAAAACUCAUGGAGCCUAGUUGACCCUGGACAACCAGUCCUAACAGUUUAUUACACAUGUGAUGGAGGGAAGUAUCCCAGAGCUAUUAUGAAAACGCGUGAACGUUUUCAUUAGCAUCGCCCCCUGCUCUCGAAAACAUCUCACAGCACGCAGUGUCUUCUGAUACUAUGUCACGUCAUCAGGAAACAAGCGUCCUAUCUGCCUAGGAGGUUCGAGCCAGGUGAGUUUCACCUGCUCGGGGGCAACUCCUGAUGCGCCCUAUUCAGGAAGAGCCUGGGGUCCACCUUCCCAGCCUCAAGUAAGGGUCACAACGUUAGCAAUCUUUGUUUAACCUCUGCUGUGACACGCACACAAAAAUGUCGUGUCCUGAAGCGGUGUUAAGUAGAUAAUCCUCUAACACAAGGACCGAGUUUUGUGCUGUUUUCAAAAAUGUGUCUGAAAAUAAGAUUUGCAUCCUGUGUUCAAAUUAGAUUUCCCAUCUCCUCAACGUGUCGGGUUUUUUGUUUGUUUGUUUGCUUUUGUUUCGGUCAUCGGAAGCUGAGAAAACAGGUCUGUAUCUCCUGGGAUGCCACAACUAAGGAAAGAGGAGACAGAGUAGAAUCUGGAUCUUUCGGGCUGUCGACCAGCUCUGAAGGCUUCCAGAUCCAGGCCUGUAUUUAUUGUGGCUCCCGGAAAUAACAGCAUGUGCCGCUGCAGGCAGGAGAAGGAAAUAAAAUUUGAACACUGA